ACUGCAGUGCAGACGUUUCCUGGCCCUGAGGAUCAGUUCCCAAGAUCUGGAGUACAUCUUUGUGUGCUGUAAAAUGUUACUGUAUCUAAAUGCAAUUUGUCAUUCUUGAAUUGUGUGACAUGGUAAUGACUAUGGAAAUGAUGAAAAGUCAGGUUUGGCACCCGUUUGAUAGGUAUAUUCUUAAUGCAUACAUAAGCUGAGAUAAGCUCAAACAACGGCUGUCUUGCUUUAGUCCUUUGCAGGACAUCUUGUUUCUAUUCAGGUGGCUGCAAUGAAACGAGGCUGGCUCCAAUGUGCCAUCAGGGUGCAGAGGCUUCCCUGGGACUCCCUCCUGCCAUGCAUCAUUGAUGUGUGAUGCUAAAGCUGUUUGCAUAGAGCACAUGGGAACCAGACCUGAGCAAGGAAGGUCAAAGUGAAGUGAAAGCAGCAGAGCUCAUCUCAAGCUUUGUUCACAGUUCUGCAACAGGAGCAGCUCUGUGGAGAAAGUGGUGGCUGGCUCUGUCUCCGUUCCUCAGGUGGUCCCAUUUGGAAUCCCUCUUCCAGGGAAGGCUAACCAUGAAGGAGACACAAAUGCUCUUGUAGAAAUGAAAUCAGGUCUGAGUAAGAGCUCUGAAUCCAGAUGGCACCACGUCUUGAAUGCAGACAUCUGCUGCCAGUGACUACACCCACUUGCAUUGGAUGGGAGUCACCAAUAGCUCCACAGAUGCAGCCCCAAACCAACAUCUGCAUAAAGACACUGGACUUGCUGCUUUGUGUGAGUGCAGUGGCUAAGCAAACUGGCACUAGUCUGUAGAAACAUCUGGAGGUAUUGAUGCUGCAUCUGCUGAGGGAACUGUACCGUAGUUUAAAAUGAAUUGUCAGCAGGAUCCAUGGAUUUGUGAUGGGCAGGCACUAUGGCCUAACGAACACCUGAAGCCCACGGCACAGACUUGAAGGAUCUCUUCUAUCUGCAGGACUGAAUAAGCACAGUACUUUGUAAGAUCAAGUCCUCUUCUUAUUAGUGUUGUUCACAAUUUGCAGAUACCAUGUGAAAUGCAUUCUUUCUCUAUUUAAAAGUGCAAAGUAAUUUGUCAGGCAUGUGGCACAGGAAAUCUUCACCAUAAACACUGUGUGACUUGUGCAAGCAAGCUGCUUGAAACACAGAUGCUGAGGCUUCUUCCAUCAGUCACAGUAGGGUUAAUCAAAUCAAAGCACAACAUUCUUUUUCUCUGGAAAACUGAAGUCAUAGCCCUGUGUCCCUGUUAUAAAAGCAGAGAUGCCCUCCCUCAUGGGCUAUUCAAGGCCCGUACUCCCACAGAUCAUCCAUCACAAACGUCCAGCUAAACAGAAGCUUACGUUUGAGUUUCUCCUGUGGAAUUCAGGAUUGUUUGUGCCAUUAUGAAAGCUCAGAAGGCUCUUAGAAAAUGGGUAGUCUUGGCUCCAAGGGAGU